rnacentral:lncRNA from 1 species
GUGCCGCCCUGGGGCGCCACUCUCACUGGGUUCUUGGCGGUGCUCACCCUACUCCACCUGCUCAGCCCAGGCUCCUGCGCCCCUGAAGUCACGCCAUGGGAGCGAGGAGCUUGCCGAGGCCCUAGACAAGGACAAUGAGGAGGGGGUGCACGUGGAGUCCCCGCGGAUAGGCUGGACGCUGGGCAGGAGCCUUUGCGGGGGUGCACAGCCUCCUCUGGAAGCCCUGGUCGCUGCCCGGUGCCUGCUGCGCCCUGCGAGCUCCGCGGCGGUGGAGCCAGGCCUGGGCUGCCUGCUCUCGGCCCUGCCUGCGGACCCUCUGCCUUUUGUCUUGCCCGUGGGGCCCGGGGCCUCAGCUGGCCCGGGAUUCCUGAAGUUAGCUGAUGAUGGGCUGGCCUCUGGGACUGGGUCGUGGGCCUUGUGCACUGGCCGCCACGUCACCAGCGCCUACCCGGGGUGCUGCUGGAGAUGCGGGAUGCCCGGGCUCGGGCUCUGCUGGGUCCCCUGGCGUUGCGAACCCCGUCACCUUCCAUCGCGGCCACCAUGCUGCCCGCUGGUCAGCCCUGGUCUGGAGCCUUCCUGGGACCCCUCCGGCCCCAAGGAGGCAUCACUCACAGCCGCUUGCGACACCGGGACCGCCUGAACCUCCGCCAGGGCUGCGCCGCGCAAGUGGCUCCAGCCAGCCAGCCCUGGCCCAUGAGCAGGACUUUCCGCUCCUCGAGAUGAUCACCCUCGGCAGGGAUACACGGCUAUGGAGGAGGCAGCGGAUACCUUCCAAAGUUUGUGGACACUCUUCUGCCACACCAAAAGUUUCACCAUCAGCUGCGAUGCCGACUGGGGCGUAGAGACCACUCCGGGAUGUGGACCAGG